rnacentral:rRNA from 1 species
UACGAAGGGGGCUAGCGUUGUUCGGAAUCACUGGGCGUAAAGCGCACGUAGGCGGGCGUGUCAGUCAGGGGUGAAAUCCCGGAGCUCAACUCCGGAACUGCCUCUGAUACAGCACGUCUUGAGUUCGAGAGAGGUGGGUGGAAUUCCUAGUGUAGAGGUGAAAUUCGUAGAUAUUAGGAAGAACACCGGUGGCGAAGGCGGCCCACUGGCUCGAUACUGACGCUGAGGUGCGAAAGCGUGGGGAGCAAACAGGG